UACGAAGAGGGCUAGCGGUGUUCGGAAUCACUGGGCGUAAAGCGCACGCAGGCGGAUCGAUAAGUCGGGGGUGAAAGCCCGGGGCUCAACCUCGGAAUUGACUUCGAUACUGUCGGUCUCGAGUCCGGGAGAGGUGAGUGGAAUUCCUAGUGUAGAGGUGAAAUUCGUAGAUAUUAGGAAGAACACCAGUGGCGAAGGCGGCUCACUGGCCCGGUACUGACGCUCAGGUGAGAAAGCGUGGGGAGCAAACAGG
rnacentral:rRNA from 1 species